GGAAAGACUGUAGCUAAGUGGCAGAGCAUCUCUUUUCCACAAAGAACGCCCCAGGUUCAAUCCCCGGGCUCUCCA